UCAUUUUGCUCUUUGUACCCCUGGGGAUCUGGUCACUCAGCAUGCUUUCUGGAUUGGAUUAGAUCUUUGAAUCUUUACCGGAGCCAUUUUGCACUAUGGAUUGAGAUCCAGAUGUGUCCUCCAGGUCGUGAUGAGAAUAUUACUUAGUGCUGACAUCUCCCAAUUCCCCUGGAAACCACCACCAAAUCACUGAAAAUGGGACUUUUAAGAUCACUUCAAAAUGUGAGUGGUAAACACUUAUUUGGAUUUCGGUGACUACUAUCCUAGUGUCAAUGGGUAAGGCAAAAUAAACUUGGAAAAACUAA